GAUGAACGCUGGCGGCGUGCCUAACACAUGCAAGUCGAGCGAUCUCUUCGGAGAGAGCGGCGGACGGGUGAGUAACACGUGGGUAACCUGCCCUGUACACACGGAUAACUUACCGAAAGGUAUACUAAUACGGGAUAAUAUAUGAAAGUCGCAUGGCUUUUGUAUCAAAGCUCCGGCGGUACAGGAUGGACCCGCGUCUGAUUAGCUAGUUGGUAAGGUAAUGGCUUACCAAGGCAACGAUCAGUAGCCGACCUGAGAGGGUGAUCGGCCACACUGGAACUGAGACACGGUCCAGACUCCUACGGGAGGCAGCAGUGGGGAAUAUUGCACAAUGGGCGAAAGCCUGAUGCAGCAACGCCGCGUGAGCGAUGAAGGCCUUCGGGUCGUAAAGCUCUGUCCUCAAGGAAGAUAAUGACGGUACUUGAGGAGGAAGCCCCGGCUAACUACGUGCCAGCCGCCGCCGUAA
rnacentral:rRNA from 1 species